AUGGGAGUGUUUAAGUUGUCGUGCUCAGUAUGUGAUGAUCUCACACGGCUUGUGAGGAAUUUCUGGUGGGGCUCAAAGCAAGGACAAAGGAAAACCCACUGGAUUGCUUGGGAGAAAAUUAUCGAGCCAAAGGGGAAGGGUGGACAUGGUUUCCGUGACUUUCGCCUAUUCAACCAAGCCCUCCUCGCGAGACAAGCUUGGCGCAUUUUAACAAACCCAAAUUCGUUAUGCUCCCAGGCAUUGAAGGCAAAAUACUAUCCUAACGGCUCGCUUGAGGACACUGUUUUUUUCAGGUAA
rnacentral:rRNA from 1 species